UGGGUAACACUAACUGGAGGACCGAACCGACUAAUGUUGAAAAAUUAGCGGAUGACUUGUGGCUGGGGGGGAAAGGCCAAUCAAACCGGGAGAUAGCUGGUUCUCCCCGAAAGCUAUUUAGGUAGCGCCUCGUGAAUUCAUCUCCGGGGGUAGAGCACUGUUUCGGCAAGGGGGUCAUCCCGACUUACCAACCCGAUGCAAACUACGAAUACCGGAGAAUGUUAUCACGGGAGACACACGGCGGGUGCUAACGUCCGUCGUGAAGAGGGAAACAACCCAGACCGCCAGCUAAGGUCCCAAAGUCAUGGUUAAGUGGGAAACGAUGUGGGAAGGCCCAGACAGCCAGGAUGUUGGCUUAGAAGCAGCCAUCAUUUAAAGAAAGCGUAAUAGCUCACUGGUCGAGUC
rnacentral:rRNA from 1 species